GCUCAACCGAAGAAGUGCUUCGAAAACUGGGAAACUUGAGUGCAGAAGAGGACAGUGGAACUCCAUGUGUAGCGGUGGAAUGCGUAGAUAUAUGGAAGAACACCAGUGGCGAAGGCGGCUGUCUGGUCUGUAACUGACGCUGAGAUUCGAUAGUAUGGGUAGCAAACAGGAUUAGAUACCCUGGUAGUCCAUACCGUAAACGAUGAAUGCUAAGUGUUGGAGGGUUUCCGCCCUUCAGUGCUGCAGCUAACGCAUUAAGCAUUCCGCCUGGGGAGUACGAUCGCAAGGUUGAAACUCAAAGGAAUUGACGGGGGCCCGCACAAGCGGUGGAGCAUGUGGUUUAAUUCGAAGCUACGCGAAGAACCUUACCAGGUCUUGACAUACUAUGCAAAGCUUAGAGAUUAGACUUUCCCUUCGGGGACAUGGAUACAGGUGGUGCAUGGUUGUCGUCAGCUCGUGUCGUGAGAUGUUGGGUUAAGUCCCGCAACGAGCGCAACCCUUAUUAUCAGUUGCCAGCAUUCAGUUGGGCACUCUGGUGAGACUGCCGGUGACAAACCGGAGGAAGGUGGGGAUGACGUCAAAUCAUCAUGCCCCUUAUGACCUGGGCUACACACGUGCUACAAUGGACGGUACAACG
rnacentral:rRNA from 1 species